UGGUUCCAAAGCAGAAGAGUGGUAAGGGUAGGCAAUGGGGGUUAAGUGACUUGCCAAGGGUCACACCGCUGGGAAGUGUCUGAGGUCAAAUUUGAACCUAGGACCUCCUGUCUCUAGGCCUGGCUCUCAAUACACUGAGCCACCCAGCUGCCCCCAAUAUUGUUUGUUUUUAUACUACCUUAAUUGCUAAAAUUCUCAAGCUCUCCCCUCUUUCCUACCCAGAGAGUCAUCCUUUGUAACAAAGAACUAUUUUUUUUUUUUUAAGGAAAAAGGAGUGGAAAAGAAGCAUUGCUGCAAACUCACUCAAACAUCAACUUAAAGAGCUAUCCCUGAUUACAAAGAACAAGAGGAAAAUUGGGUUCUGUAUCCAUAUUCCCCCACCUCUGCAAAGAAGCAAGGGAAGGUACCUUCUCUGCUUGGAGCUACACUAUAAUUUACCAGCAUUUAAGUUUUGUUAGUUUUUUGCCAGUAUCCUUUCCAUUUAUAUUAUUAUAGUCAUGCAUAUCUUUUGCUGGUUCAGCCUACUUUGAUCAGUUCCCAUAAGUCUUUGCAUGCUAUUUUUAAUUUUCAUAAUCUCUUAAAGUACAAUAAAAGUCCAACACAUUCAUAUAGCA
rnacentral:lncRNA from 1 species